rnacentral:rRNA from 1 species
CGGACGGGUGAGUAAUGUAUGGGGAUCUGCCUGAUGGCGGGGGAUAACUACUGGAAACGGUAGCUAAUACCGCAUAACGUCGCAAGACCAAAGAGGGGGACCUCCGGGCCUCGCGCCAUCAGAUGAACCCAUAUGGGAUUAGCUAGUAGGUAAGGUAACGGCUUACCUAGGCGACGAUCCCUAGCUGGUCUGAGAGGAUGAUCAGCCACACUGGGACUGAGACACGGCCCAG